CGUUGGAUCCGAAUGUGCACGCUCAAUUAUGCUGUGGGUCAGACUCUGGGGAAUCCACAACUUCCAUUCGAAGCCUUCCACCUCGUCAUCCAGAUUUGCGGAAGAGACUCUCUUGAAGAUGAGACCAUCCACUAUCCUCAAGUCAGCCGAGCAACUCUGACGGGUCCACCGUUAGCUCUUCAACACAACGCGAAAGGGUAUCUGCCACAACGUUCUCGCUUCCUUUCCUGUGUUCGAUGUUGAAGUCAUAUCCCUGGAGUUGCAAUGACCACCGAGCCAGCCGACCCGAAAGGUCUUUCAUGGACAUGAGCCACUUCAAGCUGGCAUGAUCGGUGAUGCACGUGAACGGCAUUCCUUCCACAUACGGCCGGAACUUUCGAAUGGCCAGCAGGGCUGCGAGGCAUUCUUUUUCAGAAACGGUGUAAUGGACUUGGUGACGAUUCAUCUUGGCCGAGAAGAACGCUAUUGGUUGCUCCUGGCCGUCUUCAUGCCGCUGGAACAACACUGCACCGACUCCGAUCUGGGAUGCAUCGCACUGGAUGAAAAAGUGCCGCUUGAAGUCCGCAUGUACCAGCACUGGCGCAGUAGUUAGGGCCAUCUUCAGGGACUCUACUGCCAGCUGUGCUUCUGGACUCAAGGAAAACUUCUUAUUUCCCGUCUUCUUCAAGGAUUCCGUGAGCGGGGCAGCCAAAGUUGCGAAGUUCUUUAUGAACCGACGGUACCAACCAGCGGUUCCAAGAAAGGCUCUCACUUCCUUCAUGGUCCUUGGCUCAGGCAUCCGCCUAAUAGCUGCUACACGCCCUGGAUCCAUCCGCAGACGUCCUCCACCCACUAUGAAGCCGAGGCAUUCAGCGACUCGGCGAAGAUACUUCAAGUGGGUUCUUAUGUCAGGCGCUAGUAUUAGCAGAUCAUCCAAGUAGACGAACACAUUCGAGCGGAUUUCAGCUGGAAUUACUCGGUCCAUGAGUCUCACCAGCCUCUGUGAUGCGUUACAGAGUCCGAAAGGCAUCACACGGAACUGGUAAAGAGGCCGACCAGGAACCGUAAAGGCUGUGUAUUCCUUGCUGCUCGUGUCCAACUCAAUCUGCCAAAAAGCGAACUUCAAAUCCACGCUGGAAAUGUAGUACGUUUGGUCAAUUCUGGACAGGAUGCCGUCUAUGCUGGGCAACGGAUCUUGAUACUACGGUGGUGCGGUUGCUCCAGGGGCUUUUGCUCUCCUCGAUGACUCCGAGCGCUAGCAUCUUGUCGACCUCGUCCUCGAAUACCGUCUGCUUCGCGGGAGACAUCGGAUAGGGUCGAUCCUUGAACACUUUGGCUCCGUCCAUCAGCUCAAUAGUGUGCUU